rnacentral:lncRNA from 12 species
AGGCCGCGACGGAGCUCCCGGACCCGCCAUGGGCUGAGACGCGUCCUUGCGAGCAGAACAUGCCCGGGUGACUCUCCCAGAUCUUCCUAGUGGCCUUCCUCGCCCUUCCCAGUGACACUAUGCAACCCCAGCGUGACCCUCGAGGCCUCUGGCUCCUGCUGCUGUCCUUGUUCCCGCUCCUCUUUGAGGUGGCCAGGGCCGGCCGUCCUGUGGUUAGCUGUCCUGCUGCCUGCCUGUGCGCCAGCAACAUCCUCAGCUGCUCCAAGCAGCAGCUGCCCAACGUUCCCCACUCCUUACCCAGCUACACCGCGCUGUUAGACCUCAGCCACAACAACCUGAGCCGCCUGCGGGCCGAGUGGACCCCCACACGCCUGAUCCACCUGCAGUCCCUGCUCCUGAGCCACAACCACCUGAAUUUCAUCUCCUCCGAGGCCUUUUCCCCAGUGCCCAACCUGCGCUACCUGGACCUCUCCUCCAACCAGCUGCGAACACUGGACGAGUUCCUGUUCAGCGAACUGCAGGCGCUGGAGGUGCUGCUGCUCUACAAUAACCACAUCAUGGCAGUGGACCGCUGCGCCUUCGAUGACAUGGCCCAGCUACAGAAACUCUACUUGAGCCAGAACCAGAUUUCCCGCUUCCCUCUGGAACUGGUCAAGGAAGGAGCCAAGCUACCCAAACUAACUCUCCUGGACCUGUCCUCCAACAAGCUGAAGAACUUACCGUUGCCCGACCUGCAGAAGCUGCCCGCCUGGAUCAAGAAUGGGCUGUACCUCCAUGCCAAGCCCUGGAACCAGUGACCCAGAGGGAGACAGCAUGAACUGAGGGGUCUAUGUCACGGCAUAGGUGCCAGCACAAAACUUGUAGAUGGGGGAUAAACUCCAGAUUUGCUAAUUCUCCGGUUGGUGAAAUCCUUGGUUAGUUAGCAUUUGGUUCCCAGCGCCUAUGUGUCAG